rnacentral:rRNA from 1 species
AUUGAACGCUGGCGGCAGGCCUAACACAUGCAAGUCGAGCGGAUGAGUGGAGCCUGCUCCAUGGUUCAGCGGCGGACGGGUGAGUAAUGCCUAGGAAUCUGCCUGGUAGUGGGGGACAACGUUUCGAAAGGAACGCUAAUACCGCAUACGUCCUACGGGAGAAGGCAGGGGACCUUCGGGCCUUGCGCUAUCAGAUGAGCCUAGGUCGGAUUAGCUAGUAGGUGAGGUAAUGGCUCACCUAGGCGACGAUCCGUAACUGGUCUGAGGGGAUGAUCAGUCACACUGGAAAGGAGACACGGGCCAGACUCCUACGGGAGGCAGCAGUGGGGAAUAUUGGACAAUGGGCGAGAGCCUGAUACAGCCAUGCCGCGUGUGUGAAGAAGGUCUUCGGAUUGUAAAGCACUUUAAGUUGGGAGGAAGGGCAGUAAGUUAAUACCUUGCUGUUUUGACGUUACCAACAGAAUAAGCACCGGCUAACUUCGUGCCAGCCGCCGCGGUAAAAC